GGCCAUAGCUCAUUGGUAGGGCACCUGCUUAGCAUGCAGAAGGUCCCAGGUUCAAUCCCCAUCAUCUCCA